GUCCACGCCCUAAACGAUGUCGACUGGUUGUUGGGGGUUUGACACUCUCAGUAACGAAGCUAACGCGUGAAGUCGACCGCCUGGGGAGUACGGCCGCAAGGUUAAAACUCAAAGGAAUUGACGGGGACCCGCACAAGCGGUGGAUUAUGUGGAUUAAUUCGAUGCAACGCGAAAAACCUUACCUACCCUUGACAUGUCCUGAAUCAUAGAGAGAUCUGGGAGUGCCCGAAAGGGAACGGGAACACAGGUGCUGCAUGGCUGUCGU
rnacentral:rRNA from 1 species